AAUCAACGCUGGCGGCGUGCCUAACACAUGCAAGUCGAACGAGAAAGUGGAGCAAUCCAUGAGUAAAGUGGCGACCGGGUGAGUAACACGUGACUAACCUACCUUCAAGUGGGGGAUAACCUCGGGAAACCGGGGCUAAUACCGCAUAAAAUCUUUGGGAUGAGAAGCCGAAGAUCAAAGGAGCAAUUCGCUGGAAGAGGGGGUCGCGGCUGAUUAGCUAGUUGGUGGGGUAAUGGCCCACCAAGGCUUUGAUCGGUAGCCGGCCUGAGAGGGCGCACGGCCACACUGGAACUGAAACACGGUCCAGACUCCUACGGGAGGCAGCAGUGGGGAAUUUUGCGCAAUGGGGGAAACCCUGACGCAGCAACGCCGCGUGGAGGAUGAAGUCCCUUGGGACGUAAACUCCUUUCGACCGGGACGAUAAUGACGGUACCGGUGGAAGAAGCCCC
rnacentral:rRNA from 1 species